UCUGACUGUAUGUUACUGCUAUCAUGACUGACUAGCUAGUCUGCGCGCUGGUACGUGGGGAUAACUACUCGAAAGAUGUACGCUAAUACCGCAUGAGAUCUACGGAUGAAAGCAGGGGACCUUCGGGCCUUGUGCUACCAGAGCGGCUGAUGGCAGAUUAGGUAGUUGGUGGGGUAAAGGCUUACCAAGCCUGCGAUCUGUAGCUGGUCUGAGAGGACGACCAGCCACACUGGGACUGAGACACGGCCCAGACUCCUACGGGAGGCAGCAGUGGGGAAUUUUGGACAAUGGGCGAAACCCUGAUCCAGCAAUGCCGCGUGUGUGAAGAAGGCCUUCGGGUUGUAAAGCACUUUUAUCCGGAACGAAACGUGCGGGUGAUAGCCUCGUAACUGACGGACCGGAGGAUAGCCCGGCUACUCUGCAGAGCGCGGAAACAAGGUGAAGCGUACUCGAUUCUGGCGAAGGGCUGUGUUUUAAUUGUGGAUCCGGUACUGAAGGAUGAAUGAAGUGAGGGAAGGAUGAUCGGGUCGGAUGUAGUGGGACCUGGAGGGUCGCCAUACGGACACGGGGACGCGCGUUCUCGGAUUACUGGGCGUAAAGGGUGCGUAGGUGGUUUUUUAGUCUGCUGUGAAUCCCCGGGCUCAACCUGGGAAUGGCAGUGGAUACUGGAAAGCUGGCGUGCGGUAGAGGGUAGUGGAAUUCCCGGUGUAGCAGUGAAAUGCGUAGAGAUCGGGAGGAACACCAGUGGCGAAGGCGGCUACCUGGACCAGCACUGACACUGAGGCACGAAAGCGUGGGGAGCAAACAGGAUUAGAUACCCUGGUAGUCCACGCCCUAAACGAUGCGAACUGGAUGUUGGGUGCAACUUGGCACUCAGUAUCGAAGCUAACGCGUUAAGUUCGCCGCCUGGGGAGUACGGUCGCAAGACUGAAACUCAAAGGAAUUGACGGGGGCCCGCACAAGCGGUGGAGUAUGUGGUUUAUUCGACGCAACGCGAAAACCUUACAGGCCUUGACAUCCCGUGCAAGGUAUAGAGAUAUACCGGAGGUACAAGGUGACAGGUGUGCAUGUUGUCGUCAGCUCGUGUCGUGAGAUGUGGGUAAGUCCCGCACGAGCGCACCCUUGUCUCAGUUACCAAUAUCAAGUUAGGGACUCUGGAGAGACUGCCGGUGAUAAACCGGAGGAAGGUGGGGAUGACGUCAAGUCCUCAUGCCCUUACGGGCUGGGCUACACACGUACUACAAUGGCGAAUACAAAGGGAAGCAAGCGUGCGAACGCAAGCGGAUCCUAUAAAAUUCGUCUCAGUUCAGAUUGCACUCUGCAACUCGAGUGCAUGAAGUGGAAUCGCUAGUAAUCGCGAAUCAGCAGGUCGCGGUGAAUACGUUCCCGGGCCUUGUACACACCGCCCGUCACA
rnacentral:rRNA from 1 species